UAUCGUAUUUGUACAAAUAUUGUAGCCUUCGUACAACCAGUAACUCUAAAAUGUAAGUUCCAACCUCUUGUCUAGCCAUUAUUUGGAUUAUGACUGUACCUUUACAGUAGGUGGCGCUGGAGGUAACAGCCCAAAUGAAAAGAAGAAGAAGCAGCGGUUUAUCAAAGAUUACGUCAUGUAAUGAAAGUGUGGUUCCUUGUGGAGGACACAAACGCAAACACCCCUAAGAGCUGCACUACGGGCUGGGAAGGAUCUCAAGUGGCGGACGGGAGGCGACCUUGCCCGUCACAGACAUGACCAGUGGAAUACAAAUGUCGGCCUGGGUGGGGGCAGAUGGAGUGUGACUGUGCCCUGGUAGCUCACAAGAGGGUGGGAAACAUGCACUCAGCAUAUGCAGAUAAGAGCGCCUGCACAGUCCAUUCUGGAAACCCUGGAACGUAUAGCCAGUUCUGGUCUAAAGUCCACUCAGGGAGGCCCCAGCAACACAUGAGCGAGGCACUCAUGCAAACAAUACUAAAGGUCGUGGGAGCAUGCUGGGGCCUAUCCCAGCUGACUUAGGGCGACAGGCGGGGUACACCCUGGACUAGUUGCCAGCCAACC